AUCUGGAGGGUGGUUUUUAUACCAGAGUAGCCGUAACCAUUUUAAUUAUACAGAUAAAUGUCACAAAUUAGAUUGGGGUAAACAGGUCAAUGGCGUAUCAAGAAUUGUGUAUCACAGUGUUUCGAACUUACUUGACUUAACUUCAAUAAUGAUUUCCGAAGUAGUUUCAAACAAACAAGGAACGGGAUUUACUUAUCACUUACCAAUUUUUGGAAAUUUAGUUAGAGAACAUUUAACUCUUGCAGCAGAUCCUGAAAAUUAUUCAAUUGUAUGGUCAUGUGAAAAUCGUGGAUCCAAACAUUAUGCAUACUCUUGGGUAUUCAUUCGAAACUUGACACCACCUUCCGAUAUCAAAGAAUAAACGCGAGAAGCAUUUGCUAAAUAUAAUCUCGAGGUACCGGAUAUGGUUACACACGAUCUUAAAGAGUGUUCACGGACUUUUGCAAAGUACGAAUAUUGUGGCUGAUUGCUGUCAUAAUUAAUGUAAAUUUUUGAGCACAUUAACAACAAUAGCGUAGAGUAAUUUUUUUUUUAUCAUUCAUGCAAUAUAAGUGCUAUCUUGGCGCACGCUCUUUUGUUUUUACCGCACUAGUUGUACAAUAUACUAUAAUUUUCAUCAUCAUUUUUCUUAAAAUUAUAGAUUUUUAAAAGUUCGAUAAAUAUCGAUAAAAAUAACUUUUGAGUUUUUUGAUUUUUUUUUAUCUAAAAUAAGAAACUCUUUACAUAUAUAUAUGUC